rnacentral:rRNA from 1 species
CAGUAUUCAAUUGUCAGAGGUGAAAUUCUUGGAUUUAUUGAAGACUAACAACUGCGAAAGCAUUUGCCAAGGAUGUUUUCAUUAAUCAGGAACGAAAGUUAGGGGAUCGAAGACGAUCAGAUACCGUCGUAGUCUUAACCAUAAACUAUGCCGACUAGGGAUCGGACGAUGUUAUUUUUUGACUCG